UACUGGGCACCACCUGUAUGCA
rnacentral:miRNA from 1 species